ACAACUUGCCAUCCAAGUCACAAUUAGUUAAAGUAAAUCAUUGUAGGUCAAAGUACAGUUUUCAACAUGAAGCCAUGGCUCAUACCCAACAGGAAGCUAUUAAGUGCCUAAAAAAUUACUAGUAUAAAAACAUCAAAAGGGAAAAUCUAUAAAAAACGGUAAAUAAAAACAAUAGUUGUAUACCGCUGUUUGAAAUUCAUA
rnacentral:lncRNA from 1 species